rnacentral:rRNA from 1 species
UGGGGAAUUUUGGACAAUGGACGCAAGUCUGAUCCAGCCAUGCCGCGUGCGGGAAGAAGGCCUUCGGGUUGUAAACCGCUUUUGUCAGGGAAGAAACGAGUUUCUCUAAUACAGAGACUUAAUGACGGCACCUGAAGAAUAAGCACCGGCUAACUACGUGCCAGCAGCCGCGGUAAUACGUAGGGUGCGAGCGUUAAUCGGAAUUACUGGGCGUAAAGCGUGCGCAGGCGGUUAUAUAAGACAGAUGUGAAAUCCCCGGGCUCAACCUGGGACCUGCAUUUGUGACUGCAUAGCUAGAGUACGGUAGAGGGGGAUGGAAUUCCGCGUGUAGCAGUGAAAUGCGUAGAUAUGCGGAGGAACACCGAUGGCGAAGGCAAUCCCCUGGGCCUGUACUGACGCUCAUGCACGAAAGCGUGGGGAGCAAACA